CAUGGGUCCGGGGCCUUGGCUGAGGGUGCCGCCCGGGAGCGUCACGUGACCCACGGAAGGAGGACAGGCAGAGCGCGCGUGAGGGGGUCUGCUCGGGCCGUGAAAGACGCUGCUGUGAGAGGAAAGCACCACAGUGAGGCUGAGAGGAAAGCACCAGGCCACCGUGAGGCUGAGAGGAAAGCACCAGCACGAAUGGCGGAGCAUCUGCAGAGGGUGGUGUUAUUAUUUAAAGUGAUAAAUAACCCUUGUUCUCAUCUCUGUACAGUUAAAGAUGGCGGAGCAUCUGCAGAGGGUGGUGUUAUUGUUUAAAGUGAUA
rnacentral:lncRNA from 1 species